rnacentral:lncRNA from 1 species
UGAUAAUCUGUCUACAAUAUGAAAAAAGAGAUGCUUUAUAUAACCUAAAUAAAGACCCAUGAUCUUUGCCACUUCCCACUACUAUGCAUGGACCCAUGAUCUAUGCCACUAUCCACUACUGGAUAACUACCCACUACUGGUUAACUAUCCACUACUGGAUAACUACCCACUACUGGUUAACUACCCACUACUGGUUAACUACCAACUGCUAAAUAACUACCCACUACUAAAUAACUACCCACUAUUAAAUAACUACCCACUAUAAAUACAAAGUUUGAACUGUCAAUAAGAACACAUUCGGCCUAAUUG